UACAGAGGGUGCGAGCGUUAAUCGGAAUGAUUGGGCGUAAAGGGCGCGUAGGCGGAUGAUCAAGUGGUAGGUGAAAGACCUGGGCUUAACCUGGGGAGGUCCUAUCAGACUGAUUGUCUAGAGUGAGGUAGAGGAAGGUGGAAUUUCGGGUGUAGCGGUGAAAUGCGUAGAUAUCGGAAGGAACGCCGGUGGCGAAAGCGACGUGCUGGACCUCUUCUGACGCUGAGGCGCGAAAGCCAGGGGAGCAAACGGG
rnacentral:rRNA from 1 species